CAGUCGCCGCGGUAAUACGAGGGGGGCAAGCGUUGCUCGGAAUGACUGGGCGUAAAGGGCGCGUAGGCGGCGGCCAAAGUCAGGCGUGAAAUUCCCGGGCUCAACCUGGGGGCUGCGUUUGAUACUUGGUUGCUUGAGUGGGGAAGAGGGUCGUGGAAUUCCCAGUGUAGAGGUGAAAUUCGUAGAUAUUGGGAAGAACACCGGUGGCGAAAGCGGCGACCUGGUCCUUUACUGACGCUGAGGCGCGAAAGCGUGGGGAGCAAACAGGAUUAGAUACCCCUGUAGUCCCUGUCUCUUAUAC
rnacentral:rRNA from 1 species